rnacentral:rRNA from 1 species
UACGUAGGGUGCAAGCGUUGUCCGGAAUUAUUGGGCGUAAAGAGCUCGUAGGCGGUCUGUCGCGUCGAAUGUGAAAACCCGGGGCUCAACCCCGGGCCUGCAUUCGAUACGGGCAGACUAGAGUUCGGUAGGGGAGUCUGGAAUUCCUGGUGUAGCGGUGAAAUGCGCAGAUAUCAGGAGGAACACCGGUGGCGAAGGCGGGACUCUGGGCCGAUACUGACGCUGAGGGGCGAAAGCGUGGGGAGCAAACAGG